GGGCGGCGGUCAGGGCGGGCGGGGCCGGGGCCAGCCCCGGAGCGGUGCGGCGCGGCCCGGCGCCCCUCACCUGGAUGCGGGACUCGGGGAUCUGCGUGGCGUCGGCCAGCUUCUCCCGCAGAUGCAAGUUAAAUGCACCCGGAGAGCCCCAGCAGCUCAGGCAGGGCAGAGACAGGCACUGGUGUCAUCACCUUUUCCACCCACUUGCCUCCGUGCUCCUGCUCGCACAGCCCAGGCGCUUCUGCGAGAACUGUUUCGCGACUGGAGAAGUCUCACCCUGAAACAUUGCCUGCGCGCUCCAACAGGCAAUGCCAGACCAUCACCAAGGCACUUUAAAAAGGGUUUGCCCUCAUUUUGCUUUACGGGACCAUCUCCGAUGAAGAGUGACUUUGUGUGAAAGAAUGGCAUUUUGAUUGUCAACAGCCGCUUUUGAAAGUUUUUUGUUUGUAAAGUGUUUGUACCUUUUGCGCUUCUGCACAUGCAGUGAUCUGCGUGCUUUCAUUAAUAAAGUUUCUAAGUCGUUUGUUCCUGAAA